rnacentral:rRNA from 1 species
CGGGAAACCGGUAGAGUGGCGCACGGGUGAGUAACACGUAGGUUAUCUACCUCCGAGUGGGGAAUAACAUCGGGAAACCGAUGCUAAUACCGCAUAAUACCGAAAGGUCAAAGCUUUAUGUGCUUGGAGAGGAGCCUGCGGCAGAUUAGCUAGUUGGUAAGGUAAUGGCUUACCAAGGCUACGAUCUGUAUCCGGCCUGAGAGGGCGGUCGGACACACUGACACUGAAUAACGGGUCAGACUCCUACGGGAGGCAGCAGUCGGGAAUUUUGGGCAAUGGGCGAAAGCCUGACCCAGCAACGCCGCGUGAAGGAUGAAGUCCCUCGGGAUGUAAACUUCGAAAGAAUAGGAAGAAUAAAUGACGGUACUAUUUUUAAGCCCCGGCUAACUCCGUGCCAGCAGCCGCGGUAAUACGGAGGGGGCAAGCGUUGUUCGGAUUUACUGGGCGUAAAGCGUAUGUAGGCCGUUUGGUAAGUUACUUGUGAAAUCUCUGAGCUUAACUCAGAGCGGCCAAGUAAUACUGCUGAACUAGAGUGCAGAAGGGGCAAUUGGAAUUCUUGGUGUAGCGGUGAAAUGCGUAGAUAUCAAGAGGAACACCAGAGGCGAAGGCGAAUUGCUGGGCUGACACUGACGCUGAGAUACGAAAGCUAGGGGAGC